ACAUUGCUUCAGAAGAUGUAGAAGACACGUUAUGCAGGAACAUAAGUGGAACUGUUUCAGCCCUUGGUGCAGGACAGAUCUUGGAGGUUGUUCCACAUCGGUACAUAAAGUACAUAAAGAUUCAGCCACCCCACAAAUACACAUCGAGUCCUAUUUUCUCAUCAGCAAUAAAAAGAAAAGUUCUUGCUUUUCCGGAAGCUUGCAUCCAACUCCAAGGACACAGUGGCACCAGAUGGUGCUGAAUGUUCUGCAAAGGAUUGCCACAGGGACCCUGUGGUGGUUAGGCAGGGGCUGUCUGGAGCAGUGGGAUUAGCCAGACCAGUGGAGAGUCUGUUUUGCAGGGAGGGUACAUGCAGAGACCCUCAAGAGGUGGACAUGCCAGGAUCAAAAUCCUAGUAUGCUGCUUUGGACUGCAACCUUAGGCAGAGUCAGCCAUUUAGUGAAAACACCUGCGAUGACGGCUGCCUGGGGAUCACAGGAUGGAAGUGUUUAGCAUGGUGCCUGGCACUGAAGAGCUGCUGCUAUUCUUAAUGCCUCUUCAGUUCUUGUGCCAAGCAGCAUAAAGGACAGCUGGCUGGAAUCCUGGUGGAAAAAUGCUGGCAGUUGCUGGAGCAUUCUUUAUAUUUCCUGUGAUGGGACAUUGCAACUUGUCCUGCUGUAUCCUGGUAACCAGGAACACAGUCAUCUAGGUCUUUGGAAGCAGGGCCAGGGUUUUGUUUGCAAGGAGAGGUAAAUUGUGAUACAGCUUAACUUGGAACUUGGCAGCCUAUGAGCCACUGAGGUGGGGAAGGGCUUGAACAUGGCUGUUGCCUACUGGACCUGCAGACUGAAAGCCCAGCCUGAGUAAGCAUGAAGCUGACAACUGUGACUGCAACCCCACCAGGCUCCUAGAAGGGUCUCCCGCUUCACCACCCCUUACCUCUCAGGGUGACCAUUCUCCUUCCUAACAAGUCUUCCUGUCUUCUCUCUGGCCUCUUCCGAUCCCUAGAUCACAUCGCAGCUGUGUGAACUCAAACUAAUUGCAGGGCUAGAAGGGAAGCGAAGCUCAGCAGUAGAGCAUGCCUGCCUAACAAGUGUGAGGUCCUCACUUCCAUUCUGGGCACUGUGGAAGUAAAUGCUAACUGCUGUUCCCUUCUGUUAAGUCAGUGCCCCACCCUGUUUUAUUCAGAAUAGAAUCCAGACUCCUCUGGGAUCUCAAGUGUUUUGUCGCCCCAGCUGGCCACGCCCUUCACCCUUCUCACACUGCCCAAGCCAAAUAUUUCCUUUCCCUCUUCCAAUUCCUAGUCCCUCUCUAGCCUCCCCACCCUCAGUGGCUUCUUUGGCAUCUACUCAUUUCCGUGUGGCCUUGCUGUCUUCUGCUCAUCUUGGAAUCAGCUUUUC